rnacentral:rRNA from 1 species
GACGAACGCUGGCGGCGUGCCUAAUACAUGCAAGUCGAACGAGUGGCGGACGGGUGAGUAACAUGUGGGAACCUACCCAUCAGCGGGGGAUAACACUUGGAAACAGGUGCUAAUACCGCAUAUUGGUGUAUGGUCCUGGGGUGCAUUAGCUAGUGGGUGAGGUAACGGCCAACAAAGGCGACGAUGCAUACCCGACCUGAGAGGGUGAUCGGCCACACUGGGACUGAGACACGGCCCAGACUCCUACGGGAGGCAGCAGUGGGGAAUAUUGCACAAUGGGCGCAAGCCUGAUGCAGCCAUGCCGCGUGUAUGAAGAAGGCCUUCGGGUUGUAAAGUACUUUCAGCGGGGAGGCGUUACCCGCAGAAGAAGCACCGGCUAACUCCGUGCCAGCAGCCGCGGUAAUAC